GACGGAGGAUGCAAGCGUUAUCCGGAAUGAUUGGGCGUAAAGCGUCUGCAGGUGGCAGUUCAAGUCUGCUGUCAAAGACCGGGGCUUAACUUCGGAAAGGCAGUGGAAACUGAACAGCUAGAGUAUGGUAGGGGCAGAGGGAAUUCCUGGUGUAGCGGUGAAAUGCGUAGAGAUCAGGAAGAACAUCGGUGGCGAAGGCAGCUCGCUGGGACGUUACUGACGCUGAGACGCGAAAGCGUGGGGAGCAAACAGG
rnacentral:rRNA from 1 species